UACAGAGGGUGCGAGCGUUAAUCGGAAUUACUGGGCGUAAAGGGUGCGUAGGUGGUUAGAAAAGUUGGGCGUGAAAUCCCCCGGGCUUAACCUGGGAACUGCGUUCAAAACUGGCUGGCUAGAGGUUGGUAGAGGUAAGCGGAAUUUCCGGUGUAGCGGUGAAAUGCGUAGAUAUCGGAAGGAACAUCAGUGGCGAAGGCGGCUUACUGGACUGAACCUGACACUGAGGCACGAAAAGCGUGGGGAGCAAACAGG
rnacentral:rRNA from 1 species